UACAUCCUACGGGGGGCAGCAGUGGGGGAUAUUGCACAAUGGGGGGAACCCUGCUGCAGCGACGCCGCGUGGGUGAAGAAGCGCCUCGGCGCGUAAAGCCCUGUCAGCAGGGAAGAAAAUGACGGUACCUGAAGAGGAAGCCCCGGCUAACUACGUGCCAGCAGCCGCGGUAAUACGUAGGGGGCAAGCGUUAUCCGGAUUUACUGGGUGUAAAGGGGGCGCAGACGGCGAUGCAAGCCAGGAGUGAAAGCCCGAGGCC
rnacentral:rRNA from 1 species